rnacentral:rRNA from 1 species
GAUUAAGCCAUGCAUGUCGAAGUUUACACUGAAAUAAAAAUCGUAAAACCACAAACGGCUCAUUAAAUCAGCUGUAAUCUGCAUGAUUUUGACAGUAUCAAACUUGGAUACCUGUGGUAAUUCUAGAGCUAAUACAUGCACAAAUGCUAUGACCUUGCGGGAAUAGCGCAUUUAUUAGAGCAAAACCAAGCGGCUUCGGUCGUUUUUUGCUGACUCAGAAUAACUCAGCUGAUCGCAUGGUCUCGUACCGGCGACGUGUCAUAUGAGCAUCUGCCUUAUCAAUUUUCGAUGGUAGUGUACCGGACUACCAUGGUUUUGACGGGUAACGGAGAAUUAGGGUUCGACUCCGGAGAAGGGGCCUGAGAAAUGGCCACUACGUCUAAGGAUGGCAGCAGGCGCGAAAAUUACCCACUCUCGGAAAGAGGAGGUAGUAACGAGAAAUAACGAGACCGAUCUCUUUGAGGCCGGUUAUCGGAAUGGGUACAAUCUAAACCCUUUAACGAGUAUCUAUGAGAGGGCAAGUCUGGUGCCAGCAGCCGCGGUAAUUCCAGCUCUCAAAAUACAUUGAACCAUUGUUGCGGUUAAAAAGCUCGUAGUUGAAUCUAGGCUGGAGGCCUGGUCCACUCUUUGAGUGCGUACUGGGUUCUUUGGCUUUUCGUCGGUUUUCUUGCCGUGGUCUUCACCGAUGGCGGCAGGUGGCUGACAAGUUUACUUUGAAUAAAGCAGAGAGAUUAAAUCAGGCGUUUUGCUUGAGUGACUUUUCAUGGAAUAAUAUAACACGACUUCGGUCUAGUUUUAUUGGUUUUAUUGACCGUCGUAAUGAUUAACAGGGACAAGUGGGGGCAUUCGUAUUGUUGCGUGAGAGGUGAAAUUCUAGGACCGCAGCAAGACGACCUACAGCGAAAGCAUUUGCCAAG